GGCAUCUGCUAUGGUCCGGAGCGAGGCCUCAGCCAAUCUGGGCAGCGUGCCCAGCAAGAGAUUAAAGAUGCAGUACGCCACGGGGCUGCUGCUCAAGUUCCAGAUUUGCAUUUCCUGAGGUUAUAGGCGGGUGUUUGAGGAGUACAUGCGGGUUAUUAGCCAGCGGUACCCAGACAUCCGCAUUGAAGGAGAGAAUUACCUCCCUCAACCAAUAUAUAGACACAUAGCAUCUUUCCUGGCAGUCUUCAAACUAGUAUUAAUAGGCUUAAUAAUUGUUGGCAAGGAUCCUUUUGCUUUCUUUGGCAUGCAAGCUCCUAGCAUCUGGCAGUGGGGCCAAGAAAAUAAGGUCUAUGCAUAUAUGAUGUUUUUCUUCUUGAGUAACAUGAUUGGGAACCAGUGUAUGUCAACAGGUGCAUUUGAGAUAACUUUAAAUGAUGUAACUGUGUGGUCUAAGCUGGAAUCUGGCCACCUUCCAUCCAUGCAACAACUUGUUCAAAUUCUUGACAAUGAAAUGAAGCUCAAUGUGCAUAUGGAUUCAAUCCCACACCAUCGAUCACAGCACCACCUAUCAGCACUGAAAACUCUUUUGCAUUAAGGGAUCAUUGCAAGAGCAGCGUGACUGACAUUAUGAAGGCCUGUACUGAAGACAGCAAGCUGUUAGUACAGACCAGAUGCUUUCUUGGCAGGCUCGUUUUACCUCUUGGAAAACCUCAAUGCAAGAUAGUUUUUCAGUGCUGGCAUAUUUUGUAAUUCUGCACAUUCAUGGAGUGCAAUAAUACUGUAUAGCUUUCCCCAUCCCCCACAAAAUCACCCAGUUAAUGUGU